GAUGAACGCUGGCGGCGUGCCUAAUACAUGCAAGUAGAACGCUGAAGCUUGGUGCUUGCACCGAGCGGAUGAGUUGCGAACGGGUGAGUAACGCGUAGGUAACCUGCCUCUUAGCGGGGGAUAACUAUUGGAAACGAUAGCUAAUACCGCAUAAAAGUCAAUAUCGCAUGAUAUUGAUUUGAAAGGUGCAAAUGCAUCACUAAGAGAUGGACCUGCGUUGUAUUAGCUAGUUGGUGAGGUAACGGCUCACCAAGGCGACGAUACAUAGCCGACCUGAGAGGGUGAUCGGCCACACUGGGACUGAGACACGGCCCAGACUCCUACGGGAGGCAGCAGUAGGGAAUCUUCGGCAAUGGGGGCAACCCUGACCGAGCAACGCCGCGUGAGUGAAGAAGGUUUUCGGAUCGUAAAGCUCUGUUGUAAGAGAAGAGCGAGUGUGAGAGUGGAAAGUUCACACUGUGACGGUAACUUACCAGAAAGGGACGGCUAACUACGUGCCAGCAGCCGCGGUAAUACGUAGGUCCCGAGCGUUAUCCGGAUUUAUUGGGCGUAAAGCGAGCGCAGGCGGUUAGAUAAGUCUGAAGUUAAAGGCUGUGGCUUAACCAUAGUACGCUUUGGAAACUGUUUAACUUGAGUGCAGAAGGGGAGAGUGGAAUUCCAUGUGUAGCGGUGAAAUGCGUAGAUAUAUGGAGGAACACCGGUGGCGAAAGCGGCUCUCUGGUCUGUAACUGACGCUGAGGCUCGAAAGCGUGGGGAGCAAACAGG
rnacentral:rRNA from 1 species